CCUACGGGAGGCAGCAGUAGGGAAUAUUGCUCAAUGGGGGAAACCCUGAAGCAGCAACGCCGCGUGGAGGAUGAAGGUUUUCGGAUUGUAAACUCCUUUUGUCAGAGAAGAUAAUGACGGUAUCUAACGAAUAAGCACCGGCUAACUCCGGGCCAGCAGCCGCGGUAAUACGGAGGGUGCAAGUGUUACUCGGAAUCACUGGGCGUAAAGAGCGCGUAGGCGGGAUAGCAAGUCAGAUGUGAAAUCCUAUGGCUUAACCAUAGAACUGCAUUUGAAACUGUUAUUCUAGAGUAUGGGAGAGGUAGGUGGAAUUCUUGGUGUAGGGGUGAAAUGCGUAGAGAUCAAGAGGAAUACUCAUUGCGAAGGCGACCUGCUAGCACAUAACUGACGCUGAUGCGCGAAAGCGUGGGGAGCAAACAGGAUUAGAUACCCCAGUAGUC
rnacentral:rRNA from 1 species